UGGGGAAUAUUGGACAAUGGGGGCAACCCUGAUCCAGCAAUGCCGCGUGUGUGAAGAAGGCCUGAGGGUUGUAAAGCACUUUCGGCGGGGACGAUGAUGACGGUACCCGCAGAAGAAGCCCCGGCUAACUUCGUGC
rnacentral:rRNA from 1 species